UAUGAAGAAAGAUAACCUAAUAAUAAAUAAAAAAUACAUACAUACAUGCAUUCAAUAAUUAUCGAUAGAAAAAUUAGCACAUAUAUUGAUAGUUUUUCUUGUCUUCAUUUUUCUGUAAACAGCAAUGAAGUUAGCCGAUUAUUAACGAUCUCUUAACGUAUUUUUUAAACGUAUUUAAACAGGAACAUAACGUUAAAGAAAUAAAUGAUUAACGAAACUUAAUCUCAAAAAUCGUUCGACAACGCAGAUGAUUCUUCAAUAUUAACCAUUAAUUAUUACAAUUGUAUAUUCGUCAAAUAUUCAUCCUCUAAUAAGUAGUAUAAAAGAUGGAAUGUAAGAAAAGAAAUUGAGAACUUCAUCGAAGAAAUUAUUGGACAUUAUCAUCAACGUUUCAUAUCUGAAUUAGAAAUGCUUCUUAGAAGCUUGGCACAACAGGCGCUUCGGAUGCUGUACUCGCCAAAUUCCUUGGCUUACAGACGCAACCACUCUCAACCAGCACGUAAUCCUGACCGGUUAGGGUCACCGGCCCCAAAGGAAUCACCAAAAACAA